rnacentral:rRNA from 1 species
AGCAGCCGCGGUAAUUCCAGCUCCAAUAGCGUAUAUUAAAGUUGUUGCAGUUAAAAAGCUCGUAGUUGAAUUUCGGGGUUAGUAGAUUGGUCGUGCCUCUGGUAUGUACUGGUCUUACUGAUUCCUCCUUCCUGAUGAACCGUAAUGCCAUUAAUUUGGUGUUGCGGGGAGACUGGACUGUUACUUUGAAAAAAUUAGAGUGUUUAAAGCAGGCUAACGCUUGAAUACAUUAGCAUGGAAUAAUGAAAUAGGACGUUCGAUCCUAUUUUGUUGGUUUCUAGGAUUGACGUAAUGAUUAAUAGGGAUAGUUGGGGGCAUUAGUAUUCAAUUGUCAGAGGUGAAAUUCUUGGAUUUAUUGAAGACUAACUACUGCGAAAGCAUUUGCCAAGGAUGUUUUCAUUAAUCAAGAACGAAAGUUAGGGGAUCGAAGACGAUCAGAUACCGUCGUAGUCUUAACCAUAAACUAUGCCGACUAGGGAUCGGAUGAUAAUUUUUUAAUGACUCAUUCGGCGCCUUACG